UGAACGACUCUCGGCAACGGAUAUCUCGGCUCUCGCAUCGAUGAAGAACGUAGCGAAAUGCGAUACUUGGUGUGAAUUGCAGAAUCCCGUGAACCAUCGAGUCUUUGAACGCAAGUUGCGCCCGAAGCCUUCUGGCUGAGGGCACGCCUGCCUGGGCGUCACGCA
rnacentral:rRNA from 1 species